rnacentral:misc_RNA from 1 species
ACACCUCAACUCUCAUGGCUUGCCAUGAUGAGCUUGGACUUGGGGGUUUUGCUGGCCUACAGUCAGCUCCCCUCAAAUGCAUCAGCUUUCCAGUGUUUGGUGGCACCACAGGUGUGAUAAACAUCUACACGUGUGGUUCCCCACCAUGUAACCUUCAGUGAUGGAGGUUUGCUGGAGCUCACAAAUGUCUUUCCUCAGUGAAGACAGUUCUUUGAUU